rnacentral:rRNA from 1 species
GCGAAGUCGCGAGGCUAAGCUAAUCUCUUAAAGCUUCUCUCAGUUCGGAUUGCAGGCUGCAACUCGCCUGCAUGAAGCCGGAAUCGCUAGUAAUCGCGGAUCAGCACGCCGCGGUGAAUACGUUCCCGGGCCUUGUACACACCGCCCGUCACACCACGAGAGUUUGUAACACCCGAAGUCGGUGAGGUAACCUUUUGGAGCCAGUCGCCUAAGGUGGGAUAGAUGAUUGGGGUGAAGUCGUAACAAGGUAGCCGUAUCGGAAGGUGCGGCUGGAUCACCUCCUUUCUAAGGAA